rnacentral:rRNA from 1 species
GACGAACGCUGGCGGCGUGCUUAACACAUGCAAGUCGAACGGAAAGGCCUGCUUUCCCUUGUGGAUUGCGGGUACUCGAGUGGCGAACGGGUGAGUAACACGUGAGUGAUCUGCCCCCAACUUGGGUAUAAGCCUGGGAAACUGGGUCUAAUUCCCGAUAGGACUGCAGGGUGGUGCCUGUGGUGGAAAACGAUUUUCUAGUGGUUGGGGAUGAGCUCGCGGCCUAUCAGCUUGUUGGUGGGGUAAUGGCCUACCAAGGCGGCGACGGGUAGCCGGCCUGAGAGGGUGGACGGCCACAUUGGGACUGAGAGACGGCCCAGACUCCUACGGGAGGCAGCAGUGGGGAAUAUUGCACAAUGGGCGGAAGCCUGAUGCAGCGACGCCGCGUGGGGGAUGACGGCCUUCGGGUUGUAAACUCCUUUCGACCGCGAGGAAGCCACCUGGUUGGAAGGGUGGUGACGGUAGUGGAAGAAGAAGCACCGGCUAACUACGUG